AUUGAACGCUGGCGGCAUGCCUUACACAUGCAAGUCGAACGGUAACGCGGGGCAACCUGGCGACGAGUGGCGAACGGGUGAGUAAUGCAUCGGAACGUGCCCAGAAGUGGGGGAUAGCCCGGCGAAAGCCGGAUUAAUACCGCAUACGACCUACGGGUGAAAGGGGGGGAUCGCAAGACCUCUCGCUAUUGGAGCGGCCGAUGUCAGAUUAGGUAGUUGGUGGGGUAAAGGCCUACCAAGCCUACGAUCUGUAGCUGGUCUGAGAGGACGACCAGGCACACUGGGACUGGGGCGCGGCCCAGACUCCUACGGGAGGCAGCAGUGGGGAAUUUUGGGCAAUGGGCGCAAGGCUGAUCCAGGCAUGCCGCGGGCGGGAAGGAGGCCUUCGGGUUGUAAACCGCUUUUGUCAGGGGAGAAGCGCUCUGGGUUAAUACCCUGGGGUAAUGACGGUACCUGAAGAAUAAGCACCGGCUAACUACGUGCCAGCAGCCGCAGUAACAC
rnacentral:rRNA from 1 species